GUACGAUCUUAUGAUUCUUAUCUGCCAUAGGCUCAGCUAAAACUAAAUCUUCCCUAGCCAAAGGCUGCGAUCUCCAUGGUUGUUCAAGCCGAUCCACCUGCAUACAUGAACAACCUAACGAGGUUCAGCCGAACGUCGUCGUGAUGCAGUACGUCCGCCCUGAAGUGCACGAUUUUUUUUCCUAGGCGAGGCUGCAAUCUCAUCUUCUCUAGAGCCUGCGCCACCAUCCCUAUCCAAGCUGAUCCACGGAUUCAACACGCCGCUGCUUCUCUUCGGCUAUGCUGUGGAUACACCAUCAGCUAUGUGGUUUCCCCCAUGGAAAUCAAUCCAUCUGCCUCUCAAAUUGGAACAAGUGAGUUGGAGCAUAGAUCUGGUGUACUCACUGGAUUUAUCAUGUAGUUCAGGUUCGUCUACGAUCACUACUUUUCUUAAAAUUGUUCUUUUUUUUAGUUGUUUGUAAUUGAAUUGGCCGUCUCUUUUUCAUUGUGUUCACUGUCAGUUUUUUAUCGUGUCCUUUGAGAGUGCUCUACAGGGAUUCGAUUAUAAAUCUUCUCUGGUAUGCUCUUUGGAUAUGCCAUGUAGAUCAGAGGGAGCACAACUACGGCUAAUCGGCUAUAUCUUUGUCAUUGUGUUCCCAAUCAGUUUUUAUCGUGCCCUUUGAGAGUGUUCUCCAGAGAUUUGAUUCCAAAACUUCCCUGGUGUGCUGGGUAUGUCAUGGAGUGAUGGAGAUUGAGUUGGAGGGAGCACAACUAAGGGUAGCGCUACUCAAGUGUCUCAGCAACCCUCUAUCUGACGACGGCGACGGCUAGCGCUCUGCUACAGGUGAAGGCUAGCAGGUCAGCUGACAACUCCUCCAUAUGGAUGCCCUCAUUCUUUUGAAUCACUGAUUGUUUCGUAAUGGAUGUGUCCUCACAGCACAACCAGAAGUAUCAAGAUACCUUCAGGGAGAUUGGUUAAUUAGCCAGGGUUUGAAUCAGGCAUACAGACGACCAGCUGCAUGUUCGCGCAUGAUCUUUGUGGUUUAAAUAACCAUGUUCGCUCUGUUCAUGAAGAUGAAGCAAUAGUCCUCGACUCAUGCCCCAACUAGCACAAAACUAUGCCUCCGUCCGUGAUAGAACUUGAGUUUUGACGUCGUCCAGUUGUGGAUCACAACCAUGUUCUGAACAUCUGACCGUAGAACGAUAGGAGCACCCCGUACCAGGACAAGGAGCAGGCUAUGGGUUCCCAGUCUAUUCCCCAGCAGGAACAUCUUUUGUGGAGGACCGAGCUAUUUAGAGGAUAGUGAAUCGGAUUUCUGGGGGAGAGAAGCCAACAGAGUACACAAUGAUUUGGCGAAUCUGUAUGUUUCCCAUGGUCAUGCACGGAUUUAGUUAUUGAGCAAAUAAUCAUUCCAUCAUCUAAGCAUCUCAGCCUUCCGGUCGCUUAUUUCAUGCAUCACACGACCACUGUGGCUGGGCGAAUGCAGAAUGUUGAUACUGACUCCGAUCCAGGGCAAAAUUUGAGUUGAUCGCUACUUCUUUGCUGAAUUAAUUAGUCUUUUUGCUGGUAUCGCAGGGCCAAACUCUUAUGUUCUUAUAUAGUCAAUAUCAUGAUACACGUUCCACCGCUAUGACCACAAGUGCGCAAAUGAGCAACUGGUAUACAUGGUUCUGUCUUAGCCCACGAAGAACAACAUUAUGAGGCUGUGAAGAAGGUCGACGUUGAGAGCUAGGAGAAGCACACCACAAUGUGAUGGCAUUGUGAUGGAUUAAGUAACCCGUGAAGAAGGCCAUCCAAAAGAAUUCUGUGGUUUUCUUCCUAGGAAACGCAAGCAACUCAAACAUGCAUGUUAAUUCAUGGUGGUAAAAUAAAUUUUGCAAGACACUAUUUUCUAGCUUAUCUGGUACUAAUGGGAAGUAUUAUUGAGGAAUGCAGAUCAUUUUAUCCCUGCGGAUAGAUUUUUCUACCAUG